CCUCCCCUCCCCUUCCCCCUCCUCCCCUUCGGCAGGGUUCUCCCUUCACUUCUCCCCUUUUAUGAGAUGAACUCAGCCCCGCGGCCACCCUUGGUGGCAGGGGGGCAGAAGGCGCAGCCUCUUUCCGUGUCUGCGUAGCAAAUUUAAGAUGGCGGCAAAUACUUUGGGACCUGCGUCGAGAGGCGGGCUCUGCUCCCCUCACUGUGGAUCCGGGCUGGGCUGUGUUUGCUUUGGCCAAAGGUGUACAGAACAUCCCUUCUGAUGUAAAGAAUGGAACAGGCAGCUUCCGUUGGUCUCAUCAGAGCCCCAGGCCACCGCGUACAGAAGGCCAACCGCUUUGGGGUCCCCGUGUUGUAAGGAAGACUAGUCUGUCUGAGCUGUGCCUUGAAAUACUGAUCCCCCCUCAACACACACACACGAGGCGCAAUAGUAACACGUUGUCUGGAGCCACUGAGAUUAGGGGUCAUUUGUUACGCAGCCAUAGGUGACUGAGACACCGAGGAGGAGAGGAUACGGGCAGCCGUGAGCGUCGCUACCCUCUUCCCACGUCACCCGUCUUCCACCUUGGAUGGAGCACCCACGUAAGAGCCAUGGCAAGAAGUGGGUGGCACCCACAGUCCGCAGCCCCGGGAAGAGACAGGGAGGCUGGGUGGUUCCCUGCCCCGGUUACAAGCUGUAAAUCCUCCCCCCAUGCCUGACCUUGAGCUACCAACGUGGCAUCGGUGGAUACAGAUCUGAGAAGAAAGGUGCACGUUAGGCUCUCACGAGCCCACGAGCCAGCUCCGUACCGCCUUCCUCUGAAUCAGAAGCUUCCAGAAAACAGGGGUCAUGUUGUGUUCAAAACUCAGGGGCUCAGACGUUUUGGUUUGGUAAAAUGUUUGUCGACCUGAGGAGCUCCCAGUUUCCAGUGGACGCUCCUGGGACGCAGCAGGGAAAUGGCGCAAACAGGAAGUUCUCUGCUUAGAGAACUAUCUUCCCGUCAGCCUGUGAGUCACAGACAAUAUGCGCUUAGUGGCCUGUACGAUGUGCCCCAGUUACCUCUCUGGCUCCAUCCGAGCCCUGACUUGGCUUUCUCCAGCCAGCCUGGCCUCCUGGCAAUCCCUGUAACAUCCAGGCACGAUCCCGCCUCAGGGCCUUUGCACUUGCUGCUUGCCGCACCUCCUUCUGGGCAGAAUGCUCCACUUCCAGAUGUACACGACUUUCUCCCUUUCUUCAAGGUUUUGCUAAAGGGGUGCCUUCUCAGGAAGACUUUCCCUACGGCGCUAUAUUUAAAGUCGCCACCUCUCCAUCCUUGACCUAGGAGCUUCUGCUGUCCUCCUCCCCUGAUUUAUUUUUCUCCAUAUCACCUACCGCCUUUGAACACGCUGCCUGAUACAAGUUACAUGAUUUUCUAUUUCGUUCGCCAACGGUACCUUCCUACGGCUUGGAUCUGAGUGUGGGUCUGAGAAUACGAAUUGCGACCAGGCGGGUUUCGUGCCUGUUCUCUUGAGUCCAGUCCUCAGAUGGGCUCCCCGGGGCCGCACACUCAGCCCUCCAGCAGUGGGAGGGCGCCCCUGGGGAGGGCGAGGGCGAGGGCGAGCAGUGGGAAGAAGGGAAGGCUGGAUUCUCCCCUCCGGUUACCUUCCAGAGUUAGACACCCUUCCAUCGGGAGCCCAGGAAGAGACUCAGAAAGACGAGACGAUAGGCCAUUCUUCAAACGCGAACUGUUUUGCGUUUGACCAACGGAAAGGAAAUACUGAAAAGGAAACCAAAAACCAGAGGCAUUUCUUUCUUUUCUCCUUCUUCGUGGGACCCUGCUCGUGCAUCCCUAGCGACCCAGACACCCUGGGGACCCAGACACCGGUGCCCGCGCCCUGCCCCCAGCUGAGUGACGUCACAGUCAGCCGACGUCCGUCCAUCUCUGGCUCUUCCAAAGAGGGCACGUUGCCAGUGCAGCGGUGCCUUGUAGGCUUUCCACACCGGGGAGGCAGAGAAGCGUGGAGGCUUAUUUACCUGGGGCCACGCCGUGCCCGAGGAGCGAGGCCGGGAACGUUCUCUCCAUCACCCAGCGGCGGUGGCGGUUCAGGGGCUGGCCCGGGUCAGCGGAACGCAUGUGGGGUCACUGCUCUUUGGUGGAUUCGGGGUGAGGGCCAGCAGCCCCAGGGGUGCCUUUGAAGGCAGCUUGGAUGGUGUCGGUCUGGAGACAGGUGCUCAGAGGCCAGCACUAGGAGGGGCUUAGAGCAGGCUUAGCUUUUAGUCUGAGGGCCACCUGUGAACCCCAGUUUCUCUCCUGAGCCCCGUUCAGAAUUUCACGGAAGACGUGGGCUCUGAUGUGAAGCAGCCCCUUCCCCUCCUCCCUCCCCCCCCCCCCCUCUUCCUUCUUCCCAAGUAAUGUCUGCCUCUAUCCUUGCAGCCAGGGGCUGUGUUUCCCUCUGCUCCCUGUUGCCCACAACUGCUGCUCGGUGCCGAGCAAACAGCACACGAACCCGCUGGCGGGAGUGGAGGUGAGAUUUCCCGCCAGGCGUGGGCAGGAGGCUGAGGGCCUGUGAGCUGCUCGAGGUGGCCACCCUGUCGCCCCGGAGGCUCGGGCAGCUGGGGAGGGUUGGGGAAGCCCCAGAGGGAGAUCAGGCAGCGGUGAUGAGGACCAUGCCCAGAAGGGCUGAUGCAGGGUUCAGGGCGCUGACCCUGUGUCAGCUCGGUCCUCGGGGCAGAGGCAGCUUCGCUAAAGGGAUGAGGCUCCGUUUCUAAUGGAGCAGGUUCCAUUAACCACCAGAGAGACAGAGAGAGAGAGAGAGGUCUUUGUUACCCCCGGUUUCUAGGGCAUGGAUUGCGGGCCUAGCCACGGAUCUGUCGGGUGCUCACCCUCUCUGUGUUUUUAAAAACGUAACCUGUGUUGAGAUGUAACGUUCAAUGUCAUGGGACAGCUGCAUACGCCCACAUAAGCACGCCGCAUCUUGUUUUCCGGGGUCACCGAAGGAGGGCUCACGUCACAAGCCAGGGCGUCACGGCCUCCUCCCCAGCGACGGGGAACGCAGGUCCGGAGAAGCGAGGGGCUCACCUCUGGGACGUCCGGCCGGUUGCAAGAGCGAGGGUUGAAACUCACUUUCACCAGGGUCUCCACUCCCCUCCUGUCCAUUUUGAUCACCCCCCACUCAGCGCCCUGGGAUGCAGGGUCGGCUGAACACACGGCAGCUGACAGAAUGAGGCGACCAGGGUCAUGGGUGCUCACGGCUGGGUCGGGGGGCACCAGGCACGUGUGGCCUGCGGGGGCUGGGAAGGGGACUGUGAACUUGCAGGGGCUGCCGGUCGGGGUGGGGGGGCGGGCGCCUGGCUCCCUGAGGCUGCGAUCCGCCUGCUUGAACCACCCUGCACUGGUGGAUAGCUAACCCCGCUGCUGGCCGUGAGCAGGCGCCCGCUGCCCCGUCGUCUGCCCUGGGGGCCUUAUCUGUGGGAGCAGAGCUGGGGAGGACGUUCGAGGCCCUCCUGGUUCGCCCCACCUGCUGAGGCAGCAGCACACAGGACCCAGCUCACUUUCAGGCCUUCCGCCAAAGCGUGCCGUCCCCUUGCCACCGACCCGUGGCCUGCUGUCUCCCGCGGAAUACGCAGCCGCGUCCCCUUCCCUGGCGAGGACACAGCCCCAGUUGUCGUGUGCACCGUUUUGCACGCUGACGCGCACUCGGUCGUCCGUGACCCCGCGUCUGGUGUCUUGUGUAAUUCUUAUGACACCUGGGUGGGACAGGUCUUUCUGGCUGACACAGUUUACGGCAGAGGAAACUGAGUCUCAGGGAGUUUGAACGGCUCCCCGUGGACCCAGCCGGCAGGGGGCAGCGGGGGCCUGGAGGGCAGGUGCCUCAAUGGUCACCCAGGCCCUGGCCCGCCCCUCCCCCACAGCUGCACCUGUCCCUCCGCAUCCACAGUCCCAUCCUCAGCCACGUUCGCAGACCAAAUCCCAAACAUACUUGAAAUUGAGAUGUUGCCAUUCAAGUCGGACUCCCUGUAUCGGCUGCACGCUGGGGACUGGCCAACCAAGUCUGGCCAAAGUGAGAGGGGACUGAAGUCAUCGCUCAAGCUCGAACUGAGCCUCAGCCUCCCCCGGGGAUCGUCCGACCGUGUACCCCCUGGCCCGGGUGUCCGUUUCGCAGAACUUUGCACCCGAGCCCAGCCCGACAUCAGGUGGCGUUGUGACAGACCACGCCACGCCGUCCCCGCCCAGAUGGUCGGCCUCACUCGAGUCUGCACGCCUGGUGUCAGGUGCACGGCAGGGGCUUUGAAGGGAAGCAGGGGACAUGCCCACGAUCCGUCGUUGCUUAGCCCGUGGAACGUCGACAACCAGACACCGAUCUGCUCUCUGCCACCGGUUAACCCCCCGACUCCUCAGAUCAAGCCUGUGAGGUAGCUCCAUUUAUCAGACACGUCUUCAGAUGGAGAAACCGAGGCACAGGGUCCAGCGCCCCUUCCUCACCACAGCCCUGCUCACGGCCGUGAGAUUUCUCUUUACCUUCAGUGAAAGAGGGCAGUUUCCUUCCUCGAAUAAUUACACCGCCAUCCCAUAUCCAAUUCCCUUGAUUACCGUAACAAGAACACUUUUCUUCCUUGCCUCAGAGGAAUCCUCAGUGCCUUGGCUUGCCGACGAAUCACCUGGCCGGCCACAGCUUCUGAGAACUGCAGCCUGGGGUCCUCCCCCCACCCCGUAAUUAUUUCCCCGAUACGACAUGAUCCCUCAUUACCUCUCCAUCGACUUCUCUCCCCGGGGGCUUGGUCGCUGCUAAGGUUAAGCUCAAGGCUGAUGGGAAAUUCAAUCUGAUUCCCACAUUCCGCGGCCCUGCUGAGAACGCUAAUAGAUAAGAAAGUGUCACUGUUUGGGUACUUACGUUAAACAGCGGAGACGUUCUGGACACCUGACCAAAGUGGCGAAAUGCUGAACACGGACAAACACCUGAAAAUGCUGGGCAGCAGGAGUGGUCGGAGGUCCGAGAGGAAGGGUGAGGAGUUUUUCAGACUUAAAAAGGCUCAGCAGGACCCACCACCGAAUGGCUCUGCCAGGACGUUUUCUCUGACAUGCAUCUUACCCUUAGGGUGGCGGCUCAGCUCCUAUGUGUCCGUGGCGGGUGUUGCCAGAGCCUCCUGGACCCGGGCACCUGCCUGCCUCUUGUGCGGAAGGAACCUGUCAUUUCCGGGCCGGUGCUCACCCCCCAGCCCAAACCAGUCAUGAGAGGCCCAUUCUGCUCAGCAGAGAUUGGUCUGGGAAUGAGAAUACAAAACCAUUCCAGCCAGAGGAAGGUCGGGUGGGACUAGUCGGAGGCAUUAGAAAAUGCUCCUGCUUUUUAAAAAAAGAUGCAGGGACGCCUGGAUGGCUCAGUCAGUCGAACGUUUGACUCUUGAUUUAGCUCAGGUCAUUGUCCCACAGUCCUGGGAUCAAGCCUCACACCAGGCUCCAUGCUGAGCCUGAGCCUGCUGGUGGUUCUCUCUCUCUCUCUCUCUCUCUCUCUCUCUGUCUCUCUCUCUCUUCUCUCUCUGCCCCUUCCCUGCAUGUGCUCUCUCUCUCCCACUCUCUAAAGUCAAAUAGAAGGAGAUGCACAGCGAUGAGCCCUUCCUCCCUUCACCUGUCAUGUCCCUCAGUGAUACCCGGAAACGUGGCUGCCAUCUUGAAACCCCAGAGCGAGAUUUCUUAGGGAAGAUCCACGCUCCGAAUGGCAGCGGGAAGACAGAGAGAACCUGGUUCCUCGUGGGCGCUGGUGACCAUGUGAGUCGAGAACCUGUGAACUUCCCAACCUCAGGACUUCUGUCGCAGGAAGGAAGACACUUAUCUGUUGUUGAAGCCCUUUGGAGCUGAGUACCCCCUGAAAGCAGCUGCCUUAGGAUCCACCUCCCCCCGUCUCCAGUCCCAAGGAGCAGCCCUGGGUGUAGACAGCACAGAGCACACUUCGUUGUAAGGACGAUCUGACCGUUUCCGUUACCAUGGCUGCAUCAUUUAGUACCGCAAAACUGAGGGGCGUCGAACAGCCCUUGGGAUGCUCACAGGUUUCAUGGGUCAGGAGCUUGGACAGAUCAUCUCUGCUGCAUGGGGUCUGGAGUCUCAGCUGGAAACGUCACAGUCGGGCUGCAGUCCUCUGAAGGGUCAUUCACCUAGGAGCCUGAAGGUUAAUGCUGGCUGUUGGCGGUGUUCCACUCAUGUGGUCUCUUCAUGAAAUAUCUUCGUGUGGUCUCUUCGUGUGGGUCCCUCCGUGUGGCCCAUCCAUUGGGUCCAUCCAUGUGGACCAGUUUCGGUUACCUGACAGCAUAAUGAAACAGUUGUCUUCUUCCAGAGUGAGCAUUGCCCAAAGAGAGUGCCAGGCACGACCUACAUUCUUUUUAAGACCUACGUUUGCAAGUCACAUGACAUCCCUUCUGCCAUAUGCUGUUGGUGGAGCAGUCACGGCAUCCCAAGAUUCAAGAGGAGGGAACUUAGUCCACCUUUCAGAAAAAGGAGCAUCUUCCCCCUUAUGAAAAGAUGAGGUGGGAUACGGAGGCUGGGUGUUUAUUUGGGACAGUAUGCCUUGCCACAUGGGUUGGUCAGGCCCAUGAAUCCUAAUGAGGGCAUUCAGCUCCAAUGAAUGCACUUCGGGGUCUAGCACAGGCCCGGAACCUGUAUUUACACUUUGCCAAAUGCUUUCCCUCACUUUAUUUCAAAUGGGAUGAUCACCUCCCUUCUCUUUUGAAGACAUGCCAAGGACCUGAGAGGGGUUGAGGAGUCCUCUGAAGGUCACAGCAAAACAGAGAAGACAGUCCAAGCAGUCAGCUACAGAACUGGUCUGAUAAACGGUAGCUGCCCCGUACAGUGCCACAUUAGGUGGCUGUGAAAUGGAAUGAACUUUAGGGGCACCUGGGUGGCUCAGUGGGUUAAGCACCCGACUUCAGCUCAGGUCAUGAUCUCAUGGUCGUGGGUUCGAGCCCCACAUCGGGCUCUGUGCUGACAGCUCAGAGCCUGGAGCCUGCUCCGGAUUCUGUGUCUCGCCCCCUCUCCCGCUCACACUCUGUCUCUCAAAAAAUCAGUGAAUGUUAAACAACAGUUUAAAUGGAGUGAACUUUAUGUUCAAAAAUGAAAAGAUCGUCAACUUAUAGAUUAAUUUAUUUAAAAAAUGAUGUAUAAGAAAAUAGUAGCUACACUCAUGGAGACGAUGGAAUUAUAAUUGGGUGGGGAGCAUCUGGAAGGCUUCUGGGUUGGAUGGUACAGGUGGUGCUUAUGAGAGUGUUCCUCUGGUGAUAACUUACUAAUUGUCGAUAAACACGGUGCUUGUGUAAGUUAUAAUUUAAUAAUAAACACUGUAUUAAUUGUUUUUUCAA